ensembl:lncRNA
CUUCACAAUUUGCAUGUUUAUUCCGCAGCUGCUUCCAAUAACUCCCUUGCGUUUUUAGAGGACUGGUGGUAAAGCGCAUAGAGUUUUGAGAUAAAAAACUCUAAAUUAUUGCCGCCAGCCACCGCCUUUUAAGGAGUCGUUUACGGCUAAUUCUAAGCGAUCUGCUCCUGAAGCCGAGGGAAAUCUUCUUUCAGUCUAGCUAUGAGACCUGUCUUCCUCCCGUUUGUUUUUCAGUGCACUACACAGCGACUCUGAGGUUGUGCCCUGGUCCGGUUCAACGAUUUCGAAAAACACAUUGUCUACAUCCCCAUUUCCAGUGAAAUCGCAUCUUAAUCACGGUCAUCGACAACCACCCGGCGACCCAUGGACAGUCCAUCUCCUUCUGGAGGUACGACGCCGCGGCCUGGGACACCAAUACCUCAUCGACUGGGUGGGGUACGGUCCUGAGGAGCGCUCCUGGGUUCCCCGGAGUCGUAUUCUGGAUGCCUCGCUCGUCCGGGACUUCCAUCGGGAUCACCCGUCUGUUGUUGGGCGUCCGUAGGGGGCGUCUCCAUCUAUUGGCCACUUGACGCCACUGUAGGCCUACCUCAUUCUUCCGUCACACCUGUCUUCAAUCAUCAAUCUCCACUUCCUACUUCAGCCGGGGAUCUCCAUCCAGCCGGCGCCAGUUCGUCGUUUACAGCUACCCAUUCUCCAUCUGUCACUCUGACUACCUGUCGCGGAACCCCUGACUGCCUGACUACCCGCCUGUCGCCGAGUCCUUGCCUGCCUGACUGACUCCCUGUUGCCGAACCCUCGCCUGCCUGACUACCGCUUGCUUCGCCCCAGCUUGCCACCUACCCCGUGUCCCAAUAAGCCCUGUUUCCUUUAACCCCGUCUCGGCCUCCCUGUGUCCAGCGCUUGGGUCCCCUCGCCCUGUUCCUUAGAAUAUGUGCCCCCCCCCAAGCCCCCAAUAAUUUUGGCUAGGAAAGAAGAAACAUGUUCAUAUAAAAUAAAGCACUUGAUGGUAGGACAGAGUGUGCAUUUUAAGUAGGGUUGUCCCCCUGUAACUUUGGAUAGGAAAGAAGGAACAUGUUUAUAUUCUCUUCCCUAAAAUGAAAAUCAUAAAAGUAAAAAAAAAGUAAAAUGGUACAUAAAAAGUACAUGCAACACUUUUACCUUUUUAAUUGAAGCUUGUUUUAUUCAUGGUAAGCGCUUACCUAGGGUUUUGUUACCCGAUCCUAAUUGGCUGAUAAACAGGACAAAUAUGACCCAUUCAGAGUUCAGGGUGUGAGAAUUCUGCUAUCUUGUGGCAAGGUGAGGGAGUGACGUGGCUGGUGCUGUGGAUGUUGUGUUGGCAGAGGGAAGAGCAUGUGGGUCGUUGGAGAGGUGUGGAGGGGAG